GCCUUCGUGGUGUAGUGGUCAGCACGCUCGGCGCGUAUUCGAGAGGUCCGUGGUUCGAGUCCCGGCAAGGCA
rfam:Stegodyphus mimosarum contig39896, whole genome shotgun sequence.